rnacentral:piRNA from 1 species
UAAGAAUGGUUGGUCAUCACAGGACAC